rnacentral:rRNA from 1 species
AUGGCCCACAACGAUGAGGCCGGGGGUUUGGGCGGCAAGGCAUUCUGGGAGCUGUCCCAGGAGAUGGAGGAACAACCUCACUUGUAUGAGGCCGCCGCCUUCCCCACCGAUCCUGAGACCACGGAUGGUGCCGCCGAGGAUGACCACACUGAUGCCACCACUGAUGGUGCCGCCGAGGAUGCCACCACUGAUGAUGGCGGUGCACGCACAGAUAGCAGCCAGCCGAAGAGGCAACGGAAGGACCGGCGCCCGAUCGUGCUCCACACCCUCAAGGAGGAAGUUACUGAAGUGGACUCCAACGGGAAUCCAACGGCGCCCGAACGAAUAGUCAAGGGGUACUCGCUUCAGCUUGGGUGCAUUGUCCGGAGCACCGUCUCGAUCAACACCGAGAACCUGAGGCAUCCUGACCGGGGGAAUUUGCGCCACCUCCUCUUCACGAAGCUGCACGAACGAUACAAGUUCCCCGCUGAAUUCGAAAACACAAGCCUCAAAGGGAAUAAAGUGAACAAUGCUGCCCUCACGAAGAUGAGCAAGGCCCUGUCUACUUGGAAAAGCAAUGUGAAGAGAAUGAUCGAGAAAGGUGAGAGUUAUGAGAAGAUCAAGGAGAAAAAUCCUUCGAUCACCGAAGAUGACUACAACGACUUCAAGAUCAAUUGCUCGAGCACCGCAAGCUCCCAAUCAAGUGAGUGGGGGAAACAAAUGCGGGCGCUGAACAUAGGGGAACACACACUCGGUCCCGGCGGUUACAGAGUGGCGGAGCCUAUAUGGGACAAGGAGGAGGCGGACCGUGCCGAGCAAGGCCUACCGCCCCUCUUCGAUAAAUACGGUGACAAGCAGACCAGGAACUUUGUCAGGGCCCGGUACAAGAAGGACCCGAAAACAAAGGAGCUUACCACGGAUCCGAAGACCAGGCAGCUUGAGCUUGUUCUGGCGACUGAAAGCAGUAGCGCGGGGUCGACUCAGAGCAACCCUUGGGACACCACUCUAAAUAGGGGGUUGAAUAUAAUGAAGAACAAGGAUAAGCUCAGUAAGCCGACGUCAGCUGGUCGUGUGGCCGGCAAAGGCUUGUCGACAAAAUGGGGGUCAUACUAUACCGCUGGUGUGCGGAAGGAGAAAAAGACGAGCUCGGAAAGCUAG